rnacentral:rRNA from 1 species
UACGUAGGGUGCGAGCGUUAAUCGGAAUUACUGGGCGUAAAGCGUGCGUAGGCGGUUCGUUAUGUCUGCUGUGAAAGCCCCGGGCUUAACCUGGGAAUGGCAGUGGAAACUGGCGGGCUUGAGUGUGGCAGAGGGGGGUGGAAUUCCGCGUGUAGCAGUGAAAUGCGUAGAGAUCCGGAAGAACACCGGUGGCGAAGGCGACAUCCUGGACCGGUAUUGACGCUGAGGCGCGAAAGCCAGGGGAGCAAACGGG